GCCCUAGUGGCACAGUGGUUAAAUGCCUGUAUAGACCACAAGGUUGCGAGUUCAAUACUAGCCAGGGCU